AAAAUAAAAAUAAAAAAAUAAAGAUAAAAGUAAAGAGAGAGAUGAGAGAGAGGGAGAGACUUGAGACGAAGGAGAGAGAUAGGGAGAGAGGGAGAGAGUAGAGAGUAAAGAGUAGAGAGUAAAGAAAUUAAAAAAAAGGAAAAAACGUCGUAUUAGACCAACUGCCACAAGAAUCAAGAAUGGCCAUCUUAUCUUUCAAGGCUUGAAGUAAAUUCCAAAGGGUUACAAGGAUAGCAAUUGAGAAAGUAGCACUAGAUUUCAUGGUUAUUGGACAAUAUUCGGUCCUACAUGUACGUACUAUGUUAUUCUGUUGGAGUUUUACACAGGUUAACUAAAAAAAAAAAAA
rnacentral:misc_RNA from 1 species